AUCCAGCUGAUGAGUCCGAAAAUAGAACCAAAUGCGUGUCCUGGAU
rfam:Schistosoma rodhaini strain Burundi genome assembly, scaffold: SROB_scaffold0000538